rnacentral:rRNA from 1 species
UGCCAGCAGCCGCGGUAACACGGGGGGCGCAAGCGUUGUUCGGAAUUACUGGGCGUAAAGCGCGGGCAGGUGGUCCGUUAAGUCGUCUGUGAAAAUCCGGGGCUCAACCCCGUGAAAUGCAGGCGAUACUGGCGGACUGGAGAUCGGUAGAGGCUAGCGGAAUUCCUGGUGUAGCGGUGGAAUGCGUAGAUAUCAGGAAGAACACCCGUGGCGAAGGCGGCUAGCUGGGCCGAGUCUGACACUCAUCCGCGAAAGCGUGGGGAGCAAACAGGAUUAGAUA